UCGAACGGCAGCGAGGAGAAGCUUGCUUCUCUGUCGGCGAGUGGCGAACGGGUGAGUAUAGCAUCGGAACGUGCCAAGUAGUGGGGGAUAACCAAACGAAAGUUUGGCUAAUACCGCGUAAGCUCCAAGGAGGAAAGUAGGGGACCUAAAUAAGGCCUUACGCUAUUUGAUCGGCCGAUGUCGGAUUAGCUAGUUGGUGGGGUAAUGGCUCACCAAGGCAAUGAUCCGUAGCGGGUCUGAGAGGACGAUCCGCCACACUGGGACUGAGACACGGCCCAGACUCCUACGGGAGGCAGCAGUGGGGAAUUUUGGACAAUGGGGGAAACCCUGAUCCAGCCAUGCCGCGUGUAUGAAGAAGGCCUUAGGGUUGUAAAGUACUUUUGUUAGGGAAGAAAGGCUAGUUUUUAAUAAAAAUUAGUGAUGACGGUACCUAAAGAAUAAGCACCGGCUAACUACGUGCCAGCAGCCGCGGUAAUACGUAGGGUGCAAGCGUUAAUCGGAAUUAUUGGGCGUAAAGCGAGUGCAGACGGUUACUUAAGCCUAGAUGUGAAAUCCCCAAGCUUAACUUGGGACGUGCAUUUGGAACUGGGUGACUAGAGUGUGUCAGAGGGAGGUAGAAUUCCACGUGUAGCGGUGGAAUGCGUAGAGAUGUGGAGGAAUACCGAUGGCGAAGGCAGCCUCCUGGGAUAACACUGACGUUGAGGCUCGAAAGCGUGGGGA
rnacentral:rRNA from 1 species